CCCCCCCCCGCCCGGGUUCCGCCUGCGCUGCGGAGCUGCAGCCUCCAGGUGAUGACUUUCUCCAGCUGGUUCUAGCCCCUUGGGGCAGACCUGGGCCCUGUUAAUACAAAUUCUGAGCCAGAGUCUCCAGGCUGCAGAAUGACGUCCAUGUUUCGCUCCAUCUCAUCCCAUCCUCCCAUGACACAGGGAAGAGAAAUGGCUUCAUAGGAGCCUGUUCAGAGGCCAGUGACCUUUGAGGAGGUGGCUGUGUAUUUCACCAGGGAAGGGUGGGCUCUGCUGGACCCUGUCCAGAGAGCUCUCUGCAGAGACGUCAUGCAGCAGAACUAUGAGAAUGUGACCUCACUGGCAUCACCCCAAUAUGCCAGUGACACAGAGGACCCUCCUCUCUCCCCCGCUGCAGAACACUUUGGGAACAGAGCACAGGAGCAGUAUUGCACAGUAUCAAAUAGCUCGUGUUUGCUCAAGUAAAACUGGGGGUUAGGUCCAGCAUAAUGAACAGAAGGUUCCUACUCCUGUCCUUCUUUUCAAACAUUCAGCCUACUCCCCCCAAACCAGAACGUGCUUGGGGUGUCAGAGGCAGGCUGCUGUAGUCAGAGCUGCUGGGUCAGAGUUACUUAUCACACAGACACUCAGGGUAUGGCUACACUUGCAGCAGUACAGCGCUAGGAGUUAGACCUGCCUUUGUACAGCUGAGUAGGGAAAGCGCUGCAGUCUGUCCACACGGACAGCUGACAGCGCACUGGUGUGGCCACAUUUGCAGCAGCAGUGGGAGUGGUGCAUUAUGGGCAGCUAUCUCAGCAUUCAAGUGGUUGUAACGUGCUUUUCAAAAGGGGGUUGUGGUGGGCUGGAGUGUGACAGGGAGCGUGGAGGGUGAGAGUGGGUUUUAUGGAGUGCUGAGAGUGUCAGCACCCUGCCUUGCAAAUUCCGACCCCCCCACCCCCACCCCUCACUCACUGAAAGCAGACAGCAGCUAUUUGAUUUUUCUCACAGACCAGAUAAGCAGCCGCUCACCAAAAUGGACCCCCCUACUUCCCUCCAUGCGCCACCUCUCUCUUCAAGCUAACAUUAGCUGUGGGUGUUCCAAAGGGAGCCCCCCUGCCUCUCCCUACUCAUUCACAGCAAACAGUAGCUGUGUUUGGUUUUUUGAAAAGCAGCUCCCGGAGCCCAGAGUUCACAACAAAACAAGGAGAGGAGCCUUCACUUAAAAGGGUCAUGGGGAGUUCUUCUUUGAGUGCUUGCUCAUAUCGAUUCCAAUUAGGUGUGUACACGCGCCACGUGCACGUUCGUCGGAAGAUUUUUACCCUAGCAACACUCAGUGGGUCGGCUGGGUCGCCCUCUGGAGUGGCGCCAUUAUGGCUCCAGAUAUAUACCCCUGCCGACCUGACGGCCCCUCAGUUCCUUCUUACCGCUCAUGACGGUCGUUGGGACUGUGGAGCGUGACUUUGCUGAACUCCACUUCCCUAGCUUACUCGUUGUUCUUUACUGUUAAUUGUCUUUAUAGUUGGAGUUUUUACAGUUGUAGUUAGUGUUAAUUGUUGUGUAUAUAUAUAGUUGUUGAGGGAGAAUCGGGGAUUAGCCCCUUUCCUCCACCCCAGUGCCGGGCUCAUUCCCAGGUCACCGGGAUUCAAACCGUGCUCGACGUGCCAAAAGCCGAUGCCAAUAGGGGAUCCCCAUGACUGCUGCCUCAAGUGCCUAGGGGAAUCCCGCCUUCCUGAAAAGUACCGCAUCUGUAAGUCAUUUAAACCGAGGACGAAGAAGGAGCCGAACUUUCGACUGAAACAGCUCCUCGUGGAGGCGGCACUUAGCCCUGCGACAUUGAUACCAAGUGCUCAACAGCCUGCAUCUGUGAGGAGCGCUUCUUUGGCUCCGGACCGCUCUGGUACCGCGAAGGAGCCACGGCACCGACCCUCGCUGGCACCGAUGUCUGCUCGGCACCGCUCCCUGUCCCUGCAGUCCAGGAAGCAACACAGCGCUCCGGCUACUUCGGCGCACAGAAGGAGGGCCCAUGAGCGACGGAUCGCACAGCACCAUCAUCUGCCGCGGCACCACUGAGUGCGGCACCGCAGGGUGUGGCACUGUUGAUUCCGGUCCCGCAGGGGCUGUUGAGUCAGGUGCCCGAAAGCUCCCUGGCUCAUGCUGUGGUCGAGCUCGCUCUCCCAUCCACACCAGAGACCUUCUCCACAGCGCAGGAGUUGACCGCGAAGACGGAGACUGCGCUGCCUCAACCCCCACCACUGCCGGUGCGGGUCAUCCAAUCUAUUGGCAAGCCUGCCUUGCUGAGGCUGCCCUCUGUGGGAGCCACCAAGAGGCAUCGUUCAAGAUCUCAGUCCCAUCGACGAUCUUGGUCACGCCGCCGAUUCUGGUCCCAACGCCGCUCUCUAUCGCGGUACCGGUCGCACUCGCGGCACUGCUCGGCCUCCUGUUCGCCUGCCAGAUACUCACAUUACCGAUCCGACUCCCAGCACCGUUCACGGCAACGCACAUCUCGCAACUGCUCCAGGUGAAGGGACUUGAGAUCCCAGUCGACCUCCCAGCACCGCUUCGGUCGUAGGUCCCGGUCUCCCUCGCGGUACCAUUACAGCUUCCGGUACCGUCCCAGGAAUGAUCAGCCUGAGACAUGGCUCCCUCUCAGGGUCUAUCAGCACCGCCUUGGCCGUCGAGACACACCUCGGUGUCAUCAUAGGCUGGUAGCAUUUCCUGUCCACAGGAUCGUGACUCGAAUGUCCCCAGCCAUAUGUUUCCUGAGAGCCAGAGCCACGAGCAAGGACCUCAUCAAUGGUCUUUCUGGACACCGUGGGCGUACCACCAAGCCCAGGGUGUUCCCUCAGUUGCACCACGGUCUGCCCCGUCAGAACUCUGGACACCAGAGGCAACCGUAAGCCGCUCCUCCCAUGGGUACGGAUGAGGCUUCAGUACCACCUGCAGACACCCAGGUCCCACCUGAGUCUGAUGCCGCUCCUAAGAAGAGGAGCCCCCACAGGACCCUCUUCUCCCUGGCCUCUCCUCUUCCUUCUCGGCAGACGAGGCUGUGGCAGGAACAUCCUUCUCUGGCCCUCCCCCAAUUGACCUAAGGGCACAUCAAGACCUCUUGAGAUGGGUGGCGCAGAAUAUGAAUCUGCAAGUGGAGAAGGUCCCUGAAAUAGAGGACCCUGUAGUGGACAUCCUAUCUGCAGGCGCACCUACUAGAGUGGCCCAGCUGUUUAUCUGCACUAUUCAAGCAAAUGCAGACACCAUUUGGCAAUCCCCAGCCUCGAUCCCCCUCACAGUCAGGGGAGUAGAGAGAAAAUACAUGGUACCUUCCAAGGAGUAUGAGUAUCUCUACAUACACCCACCUAUUUGCUCCCUAGUAGUUCAAUCGGUAAACGAGAGGGAGCGUCAUGGCCAGCAAGCUCCUGCUCCUAAGUCCAAGGAGGCUAGGUUAGGCGCAUGGACCUCCUAGGCCGCAAAAACUUGUAUUUGUGCCGAGGAGAGGAAUGUGUGCAUUCUACUGGACAACAUCAUGGCAGAUGUGAAAGCCAAGACUAUAACAGGAUUCAAAAAAAGAGCUAAAUCAAUUCAUGGAGGAUAUGCUCUGAGCCAGAGCUGGGAAUAGGUGACAGGGGAGAGAUCUCUUGAUGAUCACUUGUUCUGUUUGCUUCCUCUGAAGCACCUGGCUUUAGCCGCUAGAGGAAGACAGGAAACUGGACUAGAUGGAUCCAGUCUGACCCAGUGCGGCCGUUCUUACGUCCUUAUGCUCCUUUCAUACAGAUGCCUGGGAUUCUGCCUCACAAUGUGUCCCUGAAGUCUCAGCCAAAUUGCCCCAGACAGGCAAACACUCUGGGCUCCUGAAGCCUCUGCCCCCCACCUAUUGCCCUAUGGCUCAUCUCUGACCCUUGCUGCUGCUGCUCCUUGCUAUAGACUGUGAAAGGAGCAGAGGCAGCGCAGGAGCCUUCUGGGGAUGCAGAGCUGAGGCUUUGAGAGACACAUUGUCUGAGACAUCAGAGCGCUGUAAACCAUGCAGCCACCCCCUCACUCAGGGGCCUGUUCCAGCCCUGAGUCUGGGCUACCGCGAUCCCUCCCCCAGAGCAGGGUGCCCACAGAUUACAGCCUGAAAAUAGACCUGUGACACUAACUCCUGCUUUCCCUGACAGGGCCUACCCUAGACCAAAUGGCAUCGCAGGCAAGAAGUGUCUUCAGUGCCCGCUGCCCAAUACAUUACACUUUGGAAUGCUUAUUUUUUGUUGCACUUGUAGCUCAGUUCAUGAUUUUGAUGCACAAUGUGGAUGCAUGAUUCUCUCUGUCGUAUCAGAUGAUAAAUUUGCAGGCUAGGAUCUGUAAAUCGGUAUUUAUUCAUGCCAUGUACAAGUAAAUAAAACAAAUUCAUUUCCUCUGAGCAUAUAGAAACUUCUUAAUUUUGACAGUAACUGAACUGUACGAACAUCUGGAAAUGGAACUGUCACCAGCACAGGGUGGGCCAGUAUUAAAUAGUGUUACAGGAGGAGACAGCGUUACGAUGUUAACCCCAGUGCUUUAGUUCAAAGGUCACUUUUCUCACCUUUGCCCUCAUGAACUGAAGCGCAGCAUCAGAGAGAUCCAAAGAUUGGCCAAUGAGAUUUUCCAAUGCUAAAAUAGCAAGCGAUGUCGGUCUCUCAUUGGCCAGCACUGAUUGAAGAUAUGGUUUAAUGAGCUGGAGCUUCAAGGCGAGGGUGGCUCUGUCCACUGCCUUCCGUUGCAGUGCUGGGCACCAAGUCCCUGUUGGCCAAGAUGUGAAGCUGGGAGAAGAGAGUGGGGUGGCAAGCGGCUCCUGCUUUCUCCUUAGCUGGGUCCCACUCUGGUCCAGGUAGUUCCAGCUCACACAGAUGAUGGGAUCCCCUGCCCAAGUGACUCCCUCAUUACACUGCCUUGCCUGUCAGUCUGGCUAACUUGGAGCUUUGGCCUCUCCCCAUUGCCCCUGGGGACUUUCAGUCUUAGGAUCCUGAUUUCCCAUUGAUCCUUCCUGCUUCUAUUGGUAGUGGGAACUAGCCAAACAAAAGCCCACUGAGCUUUAGUAAGGGGCCAACAGUCCCUUACACGAGCUGGCCCCGGAGAGUCACCGAUGUGCAGAGACAGCAGCACAAGCUGGUCCCAUAGUGUAUCUGGCAGCACUCAAGACUCUGAAUUCUGCAAUCUGAGUUCAAAUCUCAGUGGGACCUUAUGGCAACCGCCUAGAGCUCACAGUGCUCAACUUCCCUGUCUCCAGCUGUGCAGGAGCAAAUCUUUCCUCUCCUGCUGGGUGACUUGCCCAUUAGGGCCUGGUUGUGAUGGCCACAAUGGGUUGAGGCUCUAGAACUUGCUGUCCUGGUUGCUGAUGCCUGCAGUCCUGUGGUUUGACCAGAUGCUUAGGAUUCUCACAGCUUCACCAGAUGCUGUCAUAAACAGAUAGCUAAGGAUUAAUGUCUCUUUCACCUGAAAAAAAGUAACCUGAAGCACCUGACCAGAGGACCAAUCAGGAAACCAGACUUUUUCAGGUCUGGGUGGAGGGAAGUUUGUGUCUGAGUUCUUUGUCUUCUGCCUGUACUCUCUCGGCUUUGAGAAGUGAUUUUUUCUGUCUCCUGCCUUUCUAAUCUUCUGUUUCCCAGGUGUAAGUACAAAAGAUCAGAUAGUGAUUUAUAUGUUUUUUUUUGUAUUUACAUGUCUAUAGUUGCUGGAGUGCUUUGAAUUGUAUUCUUUUUAAAUAAGGCUGUUUAUUCAUAUUUCUUUUAAGCCAUUGACCCUGUAUUUGUCACCUUAAUACAGAGAGACCAUUUUUAUGUAUUUUUUAUUUCUUUUUAUAUAAAGCUUUCUUUUAAGACCUGUUGGAGUUUUUCUUUAGUGGGGAACUCCAGGGAAUUGGUGGGAGGAAGAAGUCAGGGGGAAAUCUGUGUGUGUUAGAUUUACUAGCCUGACUUUGCAUUCCCUCUGGGUGAGGGGGGAAGAGAGAUUAGCUCUCGGUAGUUCUGUUUUCCAGGACUGGGAACGGAGAGGGAGGAGUCCCUCUGUUUAGAUUCACGGAGCUUGCUUCUGUGUCUCUCUCCAGGAACACCUGGAGGGGGGAAGGGAAAAGGUUUAUUUCCCUUUGUUGUGAGACUCAUGGGAUUUGGGUCUUGGGGUCCCCAGGGAAGGUUUUUGUGGGGACCAGAGUGCCCCAAAACACUCUAAUUUUUUGGGUGGUGGCAGCUUUACCAGGUCCAAGCUGGUAACUAAGCUUGGAGGUUUUCAUGCUAACCCCCAUAUUUUGGACGCUAAGGUCCAAAUCUGGGACUAGGUUAUGAUAUGAGUGGCAGUGGUGGGAUAGAAUCCAGAAGCCAGUAGGAAUAUUAUAUUUUUCUUUUCUCUGCUAGGGGCUUUUAAGCAGAAACAGUUUAGUUUUAAAAGGAACCAGAGAGAAUUUUUUUUCUCUGUUCUCUCUGGCAGUUGUGGCUUUCAUAUUAAGCAAGCAACCAUUAAGUAACUAUUACAGGUCUUUUGUCACACAAUAGCACUCCCAUUAGGAGUCAAAUACCAGCACUAUAUACAUGCAAAUAAAGUGGGUUUUCUGGUUUACUUUACAUUGAAAACAUUAGCUAGAGGAAAAAAGGGAAAAAGGCACUGUUGCUAGGCAGACCCCAGGAGGCAACAGAGAACCUGCAGUUCAGACAAUAAACACCGGAGGGCACCCCAACACAAGAAAACAGGAACCAUGCCUUCCAAUACAAAAAUGGAGGCUGAAGAACAAAUCAAAGAAGCUGAACACAGGCGAGAACUGGAAAAAAGACUACAAGAGAUGGAGCUGAGAGAAAGAGAAAGAGAGGCAGCCUACAAAAGAGAGCAAGCAGCCAAAGAUGCAGACCACCAAAAACAGCUGGAACUCCAGAGGGAAGCCCACUGACAGGCCAUGGAAUUAGAAAAGGCUAAGCAAAACACAGCCAGCCCUAACAACCCUGCGCCAAUGAUUGUUCCACAGCACAGGAAAUUUCCCACCUACAAGGCAGAUGAUGACACCAAGGCCUUCUUGGAAAAUUUUGAAAGAGCCUGUCUUGGGUACCGCAUCCCUGAAGACCAGUACAUGGUAGAAUUGAGGCCACAGCUCAGUGGACUUUUAGCAGAGGUGGCAGCUGAAAUGCCUAAGGAGAACAUCAACAACUAUAAACUUUUUCAAACCGAGGCCAGAUACAGAAUGGGGAUCACCCCGGAUCAUGCCCGUCGGCAUUUCAGAACCCAAAAGUGGAAACCAGAUGUGUCAUUUCCCAAACACGCCUACUACGUUGGGAAAAAUUAUGAGGCCUGGAUAUCAGGACACAAUGUUAAAACCUUGGAAGAACUGCACCUCCUCAUACAAAUGGAGCAGUUCUUGGAUAGUGUUCCUGAGGACAUAACACGGUACAUACAAGAUGGAAAACCCAAAAAUCUC